AUUGAACGCUGGCGGCAGGCUUAACACAUGCAAGUCGAGCGGAGCGAGGGUGCUUGCACCUUAGCUUAGCGGCGGACGGGUGAGUAAUGCUUAGGAAUCUGCCUAUUAGUGGGGGACAACAUUCCGAAAGGAAUGCUAAUACCGCAUACGCCCUACGGGGGAAAGCAGGGGAUCUUCGGACCUCGCGCUAAUAGAUGAGCCUAAGUCGGAUUAGCUAGUUGGUGGGGUAAAGGCCUAUCAAGGCGACGAUCUGUAGCGGGUCUGAGAGGAUGAUCCGCCACACUGGGACUGAGACACGGCCCAGACUCCUACGGGAGGCAGCAGUGGGGAAUAUUGGACAAUGGGCGGAAGCCUGAUCCAGCCAUGCCGCGUGUGUGAAGAAGGCCUUUUGGUUGUAAAGCACUUUAAGCGAGGAGGAGGCUACUUAGAUUAAUACUCUAGGAUAGUGGACGUUACUCGCAGAAUAAGCACCGGCUAACUCUGUGCCAGCCGCCGCGGUAACAC
rnacentral:rRNA from 1 species